AGUGGCGGACGGGUGAGUAACGCGUGGGUAACCUGCCUCAUACAGGGGGAUAACAGUUAGAAAUGACUGCUAAUACCGCAUAAGACCACAGCACCGCAUGGUGCAGGGGUAAAAACUCCGGUGGUAUGAGAUGGACCCGCGUCUGAUUAGGUAGUUGGUGGGGUAACGGCCUACCGAGCCGACGAUCAGUAGCCGACCUGAGAGGGUGACCGGCCACAUUGGGACUGAGACACGGUCCAA
rnacentral:rRNA from 1 species